rnacentral:tRNA from 1 species
UAUUAAAUAGGUAAAUGGUAUACCCUAGAAAUUUGAAUUCUGGAUUAAAAGUUCAAAUCUUUUUUUAUUAA